GAAAUUUGACAAGUACUGGAAAGAUUAUAGUGUAGUGCUUGCAUUUGGAGCUAUUCUUGACCCAAGGAUGAAGCUUGAUUUCUUAAAAUUUUGCUAUUCUAAGAUUGACGCUUCUACUUGUCAUGAAAAGUUAGAAAAUGUGAAGAUCAAAGUUGUACGAGUUCUUUGAACAAUAUGCAAGCAACACAUGUGCAUCAAGUACAUCAUCUCACUCAAUGAGUAAUUUGCCUAAGCAAGUCGAAAGGGGAACUAAACCCAAGGGAUCAAAGAUCUUUAGUAAGUUCAAACUGUUUCAAAAUGAAACAAUUUCUAUUGCUGGAAAGUCUGAGUUGGAUGUUUAUUUAGAUGAGGCAAAACUUGAUUAUGAAGUGUUUGAAGACUUGGAUGUGCUUAAUUAUUGGAAGGACAAUGCUAAGCGCUUUCUCUGAUCUUUCUAUUAUGGCACGAGAUGUAUUGAGCAUUCCGAUUACUACAGUAGCAUCAGAGUCUGCUUUUAGUAACGGUGAUCAUGUUCUCACCAAGUUUAGAAGUUCCCUCCACCAUGAAAAUGUUCAAAUGCUUGUUUGCACGAAAAAUUGGUUGCAUGGCUUUUCUUUAGCUGCCGAUGAUGAUAAUGACGAGGACUUGGAGACAUCAUUGUUGUCCAAAGAAGACUCAAAUAUUUUGAUUGAGGAUGAAGAUUGAGAAAAACAU